GAUGAACGCUAGCGGAAGGCUUAAUACAUGCAAGUCGAGCGGUAGGUGGCUUCGGCCAUUGAGAGCGGCGCACGGGUGAGUAACGCGUACAUGACCUGCCUGUCAGAAGGGGAUAGCCCUGGGAAACUGGGAUUAAUACCCUAUGGUAUUGAUAUUAUGAAUGAUAUCAAUUAAAGUUGAGGCGCUGACAGAUGGAUGUGCGUCUGAUUAGCUAGUUGGUAGGGUAACGGCCUACCAAGGCGACGAUCAGUAGGGGGCGUGAGAGCGUGGUCCCCCACACGGGUACUGAGACACGGACCCGACUCCUACGGGAGGCAGCAGUAAGGAAUAUUGGUCAAUGCCCGCAAGGGUGAACCAGCCAUUCCGCGUGGAGGAUGAAGGGGGCUCUGCCUUGUAAACUUCUUUUGUAUGGGGCGAAAAAAGGGGAUUUAUCCUCGACUGACGGUACCAUAAGAAUAAGCACCGGCUAACUCCGUGCCAGCAGCCGCGGU
rnacentral:rRNA from 1 species